AAACAUGGAGGAUGCUUCUGAUUCUACACAAGGGGUUGCUCCAUUAAUUAAUAAUGUAGCUCUCCCAGGCUCUCCGCCGUCUCUUCCUGUAUCAGUGACAGGCUGUAAAAGUCAUCGAGUAGCCAAUAAAAAGGUAGAAGCGAGAAGUGAAAAGCUCCUCCCAACAGCUCUUCCUCCUUCUGAGCCGAAAGUAGAUCAGAAACUUCCCAGGAGCUCCGAGAGGCGGGGAAGUGGCGGUGGGACGCGAUCCCCCGCGCAGAGCCAGGCCGUGGCAGCGGGAGAAGCGGCGGCUGGCGGCGCGGCGGGGCCGGCGAGAAGCGACCCCCCGGGAGGACAGAGACUCCCCUCGCCCACUUUGUAGUUGAAAAGGUGGAGAAGUGGCAUUCGGCGUGCUCGCAGAUAGGGAAGCGGGGCCGACGCGGGCGGCCAAGGGUCCGGGUGAGCCCGCGGGCGGACAGGAGAUGCCGCUGCUACACCGAAAGCCGUUUGUGAGACAGAAGCCGCCCGCGGACCUGCGGCCGGACGAGGAAGUUUUCUACUGUAAAGUCACCAACGAGAUCUUCCGCCACUACGAUGACUUUUUUGAACGAACCAUUCUGUGCAACAGUCUUGUGUGGAGUUGUGCUGUGACGGGUAGACCUGGACUGACCUAUCAGGAAGCACUUGAGUCAGAAAAAAAAGCAAGACAGAAUCUUCAGAGUUUUCCAGAACCACUAAUUAUUCCAGUUUUAUACUUGACCAACCUUACCCAUCGUUCACGCUUACAUGAAAUUUGUGAUGAUAUUUUUGCAUAUGUCAAGGAUCGCUAUUUUGUUGAAGAAACCGUGGAAGUCAUUAGGAACAAUGGUGCAAGGUUACAGUGUAGGAUUUUGGAAGUCCUCCCUCCAUCACAUCAGAAUGGCUUUGCUAAUGGACAUGUCAGCAGUGUCGAUGGAGAAACUAUUAUCAUCAGUGAUAGUGAUGAUUCAGAAACACAAAACAUUUCCUUUCAAAAUGGGAAGAAAAAAGAUGCAGUCGAUCCCUUAUUAUUCAAGUACAAGGUGCAACCCACUAAAAAAGAAUUGUAUGAGUGUGCUAUUGUUAAAGCAACACAAAUCAGUCGGAGAAAACACUUAUUUUCUCGUGAUAAAUUAAAGCUUUUUCUGAAGCAACACUGUGAACCACAAGAUGGAGUCAUUAAAAUUAAGGCAUCAUCUCUUUCAACAUAUAAAAUAGCAGAACAAGAUUUUUCUUAUUUCUUCCCUGAUGAUCCACCCACAUUUAUCUUUAGUCCUACUAACAGAAGAAGAGGGAGACCUCCCAAACGAGUAUCUAUUAGUCAGGAGGACAGCGUUGCUAAUAAACAGACUAUUGCAGGUUAUAGGAACAAAGCUAUUAAAGAAAGAGACAAACUUUUGAAACAAGAAGAAAUGAAGUCACUGGAUCUAAGUUUGAUCUUCUCCACAGCUUUUGAAAAGGCUAAAUUAAAAAGAGAAAAAGCAGAUGCCCUAGAAGCAAAGAAAAAAGAAAAGGAAGAUAAAGAGAAAAAGAAGGAAGAAUUGAAGAAAAUUGUUGAAGAAGAGAGACUGAAGAAAAAAGAGGAAAAAGAGAGACUUAAAAUAGAAAGGGAAAAGGAAAGAGAAAAAUUACGUGAAGAAAAGCGAAAAUAUAUGGAAUACUUAAAACAGUGGAGUAAACCUAGAGAAGAUAUGGAAUGUGACGAUCUUAAGGAACUUCCAGAACCAACUCCAGUGAAGACUAGACUACCUCCUGAAAUCUUUGGUGAUGCUCUGAUGGUUUUGGAGUUUCUUAAUGCUUUUGGGGAACUUUUUGAUCUUCAAGAUGAGUUUCCUGAGGGAGUAACCCUAGAAGUGUUAGAGGAAGCUCUUGUAGGAAAUGACAGUGAAGGCCCACUAUGUGAAUUGCUUUUUUUCUUCCUGACUGCCAUCUUCCAGGCGAUAGCUGAAGAAGAAGAGGAAGUAGCCAAAGAGCAAAUAACGGAUGCUGACACCAAAGAUUUAACAGAGGCUUUGGAUGAAGAUGCAGACCCCACAAAAUCUGCACUGUCUGCAGUUGCAUCUUUGGCAGCUGCGUGGCCGCAGUUGCACCAGGGCUGCAGUUUGAAAAGCUUGGAUCUUGAUAGCUGCACUCUUUCUGAAAUCCUCAGACUGCACAUCUUAGCUUCAGGUGCUGAUGUAACAUCAGCAAAUGCAAAGUACAGAUACCAAAAGCGAGGAGGAUUUGACGCUACAGAUGACGCCUGUAUGGAGCUUCGUUUGAGCAAUCCCAGUCUAGUGAAGAAACUGGCAAGCACUUCAGUGUAUGAUUUGACACCAGGAGAAAAAAUGAAGAUACUUCAUGCUCUCUGUGGGAAACUCCUGACCCUAGUUUCUACUAGGGAUUUCAUUGAAGAUUACGUUGAUAUAUUACGACAGGCAAAGCAGGAGUUCCGGGAGUUAAAAGCAGAACAACAUCGGAAAGAGAGGGAAGAAGCAGCUGCUAGAAUUCGUAAAAGGAAGGAAGAAAAACUGAAGGAACAAGAACAAAAAAUGAAAGAGAAACAAGAGAAACUGAAGGAAGAGGAGCAGAGAAAUUCAGCUGCAGAUACAUCUGUUGGGGAGGAAGAAAGAGAAGAUUUUGAUACUAGCACUGAGAGCAAAGAAAUAGAGCAAAAGGAACUUGAUCAAGAUACAGUCACUGAAGAUGAAGAUGACCCAGGAUCACAUAAAAGAGGCAGAAGGGGGAAAAGGGGACAAAAUGGAUUUAAAGAAUUUACAAGACAAGAAGAGGUCAACUGUGUAACAAGAGAGCCUCUUACUGCUGAUGAGGAAGAAGCUUUAAAACAGGAACAUCAACGGAAAGAGAAAGAGCUCUUGGAAAAAAUCCAAAGUGCCAUAGCAUGUACCAAUAUCUUUCCCUUGGGCCGAGACCGCAUGUAUAGGCGAUACUGGAUUUUCCCUUCUAUUCCUGGGUUAUUUAUUGAAGAGGAUUAUUCCGGUCUCACUGAAGACAUGCUGUUGCCUAGACCUUCAUCAUUUCAGAAUAGUGUACAGUCUCAAGAUCCUCAGGUAUCCACUAAAACUGGAGAGUCUUUGACGUCUGAAUCUACCUCCAACAUUGACCAAGGUCCAUGUGAUGAUUCCCUGCAGCUGCCAAAACCAGUGCAUAAGCCAAAUCGGUGGUGCUUUUACAGUUCUUGUGAACAGCUAGACCAGCUGAUCGAAGCUCUUAAUUCUAGAGGACACAGAGAAAGUGCCUUAAAAGAAACUUUGUUGCAAGAGAAGAGCAGAAUAUGUGCACAGCUAGCCCAUUUUUCUGAAGAGAAAUUUCAUUUUUCAGACAAACCUCAAACUGAUAGCAAACCUACAUAUAGUCGGGGAAGAUCUUCCACUGCAUGUGAUUCAGCUCAGAUGUCUGCAGAAAGACAGCUUGAAUUGAGGCUGAGAGAUUUUCUUUUGGAUAUUGAAGACAGAAUCUACCAAGGAACAUUAGGAGCAAUUAAGGUUACAGAUCGACACAUCUGGAGAUCAGCAUUAGAGAGUGGACGGUAUGAGCUGUUAAGUGAGGAACACAAGGAAAAUGGGAUCAUUAAGACUGUGAAUGAAGAUGUAGAAGAGAUGGAAAUUGAUGAGCAAGCAAAGGUCAUAGUAAGAGACAGACUUUUGGGCAUAAAAACAGAAACUCCAAGUACUGUCUCAACUAAUGCAAGUACCCCCCAGUCAGUGAGCAAUGUGGUUCAUUAUCUGGCAAUGGCGCUUUUUCAGAUAGAGCAGGGCAUUGAGCGGCGUUUUCUCAAAGCUCCACUCGAUGCCAGUGACAGUGGGCGUUCUUACAAAACAGUCCUGGACCGUUGGAGAGAGUCUCUCCUUGCUUCUGCUAGUCUAUCCCAAGUCUUUCUUCAUCUGUCCACCUUGGAUCGUAGCGUGAUAUGGUCUAAAUCUAUACUGAAUGCUCGUUGCAAGAUAUGCCGAAAGAAGGGUGAUGCUGAAAACAUGGUACUUUGUGAUGGCUGUGAUCGGGGUCAUCAUACCUACUGUGUUCGACCAAAACUCAAGACUGUGCCUGAAGGAGAUUGGUUUUGUCCAGAGUGUCGGCCAAAGCAACGUUCUAGGAGACUCUCCUCUAGACAGAGACCAUCCUUGGAAAGUGAUGAAGAGAUGGAAGACAGUAUGGAAGGUGAGGAUGAUGAAGUUGAUGAUGAUGAUGAAGAGGGUCAAAGUGAGGAGGAGGAGUAUGAGAUAGAACAAGAUGAAGAUGACUCUCAAGAAGAGGAAGAAGUCAGCCCACCAAAACGAGGAAGACCGCAAGUUAGAUUGCCAAUUAAAACAAGAGGGAGACUUAGCUCUUCUUUCUCAAGUCGUGGCCAACGACAAGAUCCUGGAAGAUACACUUCAAGGAGUCAGCAGAGUACACCCAAAACAACUGUUUCCUCUAAAACCACUGGUAGAAGCCUUAGAAAGAUAAAGUCUGCCCCUCCAACAGAAACUAAAUCUUUAAGAAUUGCCGGUCGUUCUACUCGCCAGAGUUAUGGCCCACUGCAAGCAGAUGUAUUUGUGGAACUACUUAGUCCUCGUAGAAGACGCAGAGGCAGGAAGAGUGCUAAUAAUACACCAGAAAAUAGUCCCAACUUCCCUAACUUCAGAGUCAUUGCCACAAAGUCAAGUGAGAAGUCAAGAUCUCUCAAUGUUACUCCAAAACUUUCUCUCCAAGAUAGUGAAUCCAAGAGAAGAGGAAGGAAAAGACAAUCUACAGAAUUCCUCUCCUAUGACCCUGAGUCGAAGGAGUUCAGGCCGACAAGGAGGAGUUCACGAAUUGUCUGCUUUUGAACAGCUUGUUGUGGAACUGGUACGGCAUGAUGACAGCUGGCCGUUUUUGAGACUUGUUUCCAAAAUCCAGGUCCCAGACUAUUAUGACAUCAUCAAAAAGCCCAUUGCCUUAAAUAUAAUUCGUGAAAAAGUGAACAAAUGUGAAUAUAAAUUAGCAUCGGAAUUUAUCGAUGAUAUUGAGUUAAUGUUUUCGAACUGCUUUGAGUACAACCCUCGUAACACAAGUGAAGCAAAAGCUGGAACUAGGCUUCAAGCAUUUUUUCAUAUUCAGGCUCAAAAACUUGGACUCCAUGUCACACCUGGGAAUGUGGAUCAAGUUAGCACACCACCAGCUGCAAAAAAGUCACGAAUCUAAUUUUGUCCUUCUAAAGGAUAUAUUUGAGGAAAACAAAUUGUUCACGAAAAUGGAACAUUAAAUCAUGCUCUAAAGCAGACAUAUAUAUAUAAAGCAAUAACAACUGAUUGACCACACUGAAGUGUGGCCUGCACUAUAUUCUCAAUUUUAAUAUUAAGCACUCAGGAGAAUGUAGGAAAGAUUUCCUUUGCUACAGUUUUGUUCAGUAUCUAAUAAGUUUGAUAGAUGUAUUGGAUACAGUACUGGUUUACAGAGGUUUUUGUACAUUUUGAGAUCAUUCAUGUGUCCCAAUAUCUUUGAAAAUAUUUUUUCACCUGUGAUUUAUUUUGUCAUUGAUUUUUUUUUUAGAAGUGGUAUUAAGGAAGAUUUAUCUGUAUACAGAUAAAUCUAUUAUAGCACAGUUUAGAAAAGUAUAUAUGUCUAAGAAUUGUUUAAUGAGCACAUUCUUUCAACACUACACAUGAAUGAAUCCAAUUUUAUAUCCUUGAAGUGCUGUACCAGUGCUGGCUGGAGGUAUUAAGUCUGAGUUUAUUAACUAGAUAUUUAUUUAGCAUUCAAAAUAAUUUGUGAAUUUGUUUUGUAUUUAUAAAAUUUGUACCUGGAAAAUGUUCUUUAAUUUUUUAAACAUUUUACUGUGUUUUUGUUUUCUUUCUCUAACUUCCUUAAUGAUCAAUCAAUAAAAGGUAACACCGCUCCCCUUCUCCCUGACAGUUCUUCCAGUUUUUUUAGAACUGUAUUACAACUUUCUAUGUACAACUUUUUAAGUGUACAAAUAAAAUGAUACAUGUUUUUCAAGUA